rnacentral:rRNA from 1 species
UACGUAGGGUGCGAGCGUUGUCCGGAAUUACUGGGCGUAAAGAGCUCGUAGGUGGUUUGUCGCGUUGUCCGUGAAAACUCACAACUCAAUUGUGGGCGUGCGGGCGAUACGGGCAGGCUGGAGUACUGCAGGGGAGACUGGAAUUCCUGGUGUAGCGGUGGAAUGCGCAGAUAUCAGGAGGAACACCGGUGGCGAAGGCGGGUCUCUGGGCCGAUACUGACGCUGAGGAGCGAAAGCGUGGGGAGCGAACAGG